rnacentral:tRNA from 1 species
ACUAUUUUGGCAGAUUAGUGUAAUAAAUUUAGAAUUUAUAAAUGUAAUAAUAUUACAAAUAGUAC